GACGUAGGGGGCCAGCGUUGUUCGGAAUUACUGGGUGUAAAGGGUUCGUAGGCGGUGUGGCAAGUUGGGAGUGAAAUCUCUGGGCUCAACCCAGAGGCUGCUUCCAAAACUGCUGUGCUUGAGUGUGGGAGAGGCGCGUGGAAUUGCAGGUGUAGCGGUGAAAUGCGUAGAUAUCUGCAGGAACACCCGUGGCGAAGGCGACUCGCUGGAUCAUUGCUGACGCUGAGACGCGAAAGCGUGGGGAGCAAACAGG
rnacentral:rRNA from 1 species